GAAGGUAUAGCUCAGUGGUAGAGUGUGUGCCUAGCAUGCAUGAGGUCCUGGGUUCAAUCCCCAGUACCUCUG
rnacentral:tRNA from 1 species